UACGUAGGGUGCGAGCGUUGUCCGGAAUUACUGGGCGUAAAGCGUGCGCAGGCGGCUUUGCAAGACAGAUGUGAAAUCCCCGGGCUUAACCUGGGAACUGCAUUUGUGACUGCAUGGCUGGAGUGCGGCAGAGGGGGAUGGAAUUCCGCGUGUAGCGGUGAAAUGCGCAGAUAUCAGGAGGAACACCGAUGGCGAAGGCGGCAUCCUGGACCAAUUCUGACGCUGAGGAGCGAAAGCCAGGGGAGCAAACGGG
rnacentral:rRNA from 1 species